rnacentral:sRNA from 1 species
UAUUUAUAUCUUUAUUAGCAACAAUAGUCAUUUCUUCUGACCCUGGAAGAGGAGAGCCACCAACCCAACCCACCCUACCCACUGCAUGUCCUUGUUGGUUGGACUGGGGCUAAUGGCUUUGGGGCAGAUGUUGGAAGCAAAACUGGAGUGUCAUGGGUUUUUUGCUUGUUUUUAAUUUUGUUUUUGCUCAGAUUUGUCUUCUUAGUGCUUGGAUGGUGUGAGCGAAAACCCAGAUGAAUACAUUUGGUGGCUGAGCUACUACAAUGCCAUCACCGGAUUCCAUGACCUUCGAGGAUAUAGUUGUAGACUUCACUCAAGAAGAGUGGGCCUUGCUAGACACAUCCCAGAGAAAGCUGUUUCAAGAUGUGAUGUUGGAGAACAUCAGUCAUCUGGUCUCUAUUGGCAAACAGCUCUGCAAAUCAGUUGUGCUUUCCCAUUUGGAGCAAGUAGAGAAACUUUCAACACAAAGAAUAAGCUUACUGCAAGGUAGACAAGUUGACAUUAAACAUCAAGAGAUACCAU